rnacentral:rRNA from 1 species
GAUGCCUUGGCACUAGGAGUCGAAGAAGGACGCGACAAACGGCGAAACGCCUCGGGGAGCUGUAAGUGAGCAUUGAUCCGGGGGUAUCCGAAUGGGGAAACCCGCUAGUGGUUAUACGCUAGCACCAUAUGGUGAAUACAUAGCCAUAUAGGAGACAGACCCAGGGAACUGAAACAUCUAAGUACCUGGAGGAAAAGAAAGAAAAAUCGAUUCCCGUAGUAGCGGCGAGCGAAGUGGGAAGAGCCCAAACCGGAUUUAUCCGGGGUUGUAGGACCUUCAUAAU